ensembl:lncRNA
GUCCGCACCUGGGAUCCCAACUGGGAACCCUGGGCCGCUAAGGUGCAACGUGUGAACUUAACCACUGCGCUACCUGCUGUCCCCUUGGAGAUAGGUUUUCGUGCCACUAUGAUGUACUUGUUUGUACUCUGAAUCCUUUAUUAUUUACAUAGCUGUGUAUUUGCAUAACUCGAUGAAGCAAAAACAAAACAAAAAAUGUAUUCAAGAAGCCAAAAGACAAAAUAAAACUCUCUCUCAUGAAGCAAGUAAAUUUAAGGUAAAAAGCCCUUCUUUUUCCUGGAUUACAUCCUAAGAACAGAAGUAGCAGUAAAACAUACAUUUAUUUUUCUUACCGUGUGUGUAUGAUCUGGAAUAGGCAAAAAUAUGUCUUAUAAAGAAUUAUACUCUUUAAUUUUCAGAGGAAAGGUGAUGGAAAUGAUGCAUUACGGGCAGGUCUAAUUUAGGAAAGCCCCAUUGAGUGCUGACCUGGCUUACCCAGAACUACUCCCUGUGUGUUGGAGGAUGAUUAAAGAUCAGUUGAAGUCAUUUGAUGUUCACAGAGAUGGCUAAGGGCUGAAUGUGAACUGAGGUCACCAAACUUUUUGUCUCCAUGUCAUCUCAUUCAAUAAUAUUUACCAAGUUCCUUUCACAGUACAUUACAUUCUUCUAUGUCAUUUCUCUAUGAUGGGACCUGUUAUAAUUGGCAAUGAUUAUGAUAGCUGGGCUGGAAAAGCCAGGUCAAGUUGUUUAGCCAGUUGGCUAAGACACUAUGUGUUACCAUGAUUAGAGAGUGACCUAGAAAGAGAGUGACACUUCUACUCUCAGAAUGACCACAAUCUUGGAGGUGAUCUAGUUGCUACAGAAGUAAAGCAAAGAGGAUACUAGGUGCCCAGAGCUGGACGAGACACCUUCGUGGAUGCAAAAACAUCUUCUCUCAAAUUUUGAACACUCAUCCUUUGACGUCGUUCCCAGACCUUUCACCGUCUUGUGGAUCUACAGUGGUACUUAUCUACAAUGCUCUUUUACUUCUUAUUUCUUGGCACCAUUCUCUUAACAGUGGAGACUACAGCUGAAUUGGCUUUUGAUGCCACAACAUUAUACUUUUGGUUGAGUUUAUUAUCAACUAAAAUGCCAAAGCAAGCUCUCCUCUGUCCCCUACAAAACAUAUGCACUCAACUAAUUGAUUCUUCAUACCCAAAGGAGAUUUUUAAAAAACAAUUUCAUCAAUCUUGCCUAUCCAGAUCUUAGUGAAUAAAAAAAAAGUUUGUAUCAUCUGGAAAUUUGACAAUCUUGUUUUUGCCAUUUGGCCAAAUUGUUUAUAAGGAUAGAGUCAAGGACCAAGAUCUUUGGAAGAACCCUAGAAAAAUGAUUUUGGAAGAAAAUGGAAAGGAACAGCAACUUUGCAAGAUGCUGCUGGAAAAAGAGUACCGUGCUCAAAUACAUGUGCAAAAUGCUACAUACUAAAUUGCUCUUUUUUGAGAUUUAAAAUACGUAUUGGUGAUUAAAAACUCUAAGACACUUCCUUCCAGAUUGAAAUUGAUCAACUAAUUUAGCAUUCCCAAACUGUAUUCCACUAGGUAUUCCUUGAUCAAAUAAGUUAAGAAAGGCUGGCAUAAAUAGAUAUUUAUUUACUGUAGGACUUUCAGAACCAUAUUUAUGGUAAUGUAUAAUGUGAAUCUAUAGAUAGAAUAUUCUAUCUUUCUGCAGUCUAUUGGACCAACUAGAGACUUUUUUCUUUUCACAGAGCAUUUUUCAAGACUGAUAUGAUAAAUUUGGUAAACUCUGCCUGCGAAUAUUUUGGGGCUGUGGUGGUGAUCUUGGCUCCAUGUCUGCCUAGCUUUCCAAUUUCAAAUUCUGUGAAUUGAUCUGAUAAAUAACACACCUACACCAGUGCUAUGAAAAAACAUUAAGACUACUUUUUGAAAGAAGCUAAUUUUUAAAAAUCAGCUUCAUUGAGUUAAAAUCAACUUUAUUAUUAUUUACAUACAAUAAAAUGUGAUCUUUUUACGUGCACAUUUUUAGAGUUUUGACAAAUGUAUACAUCUGUGCAACCACCAUCACAGUUAAGAUAGAACAUUUCCAUCACCCCUAAAAUUUCCUUCGUGUCCUUUUGCAGUCAGUUUCCUCUGACCCCAGCCCCAGGCAACCACUGAUCUGCUUAUUACUUAUAGAGGGGAUUUCCUUUUUUCUAGAAUCGCAUAUAAAUGAUACCCUACAGCAUGUACUUUUGUGCCUGGCUUAUUUUUCUCAGCAUGUUUUUGAGAUUCAUCCAUGUUGUUGUAUGUAUGAAUAGUUCAUUCAUUUUAUUACUGAUUAGUAUUCCACCCUAUGGAUACAACACUACUUGUUUAUCCAUUCACCUGUGAUGGGCAGUAGGACUGUUUCUAGUUUUUGGCUAUUGUAAAUAAAGCUUUUAUGAACAUUGUAUACAAGUUUGUGUGUGCUAUCAGCUGUAUAUGAGAGUUUUUCCACAUCCUUACCAUCACUUGGUAUGGGUCCUCUUUUUCACUUUACCCAUUCUAGUGGGUAUGAAGAGAUAUCUCACUGUGGUUUUAAUUUGUACUUCUCUAAUGACUAAUGGUGCUGAGUACCUUUUCAUGUGAUAUUGGCCAUUUAUGUAUCCUCUUUUGUGAAGUUCCUGUUCACAUCUUUUGUCUAGUUAAAAACUGGGUUGUUUGCCUUCUUAUUAUUGCUGUCUGAGAGUUCUUUCUAUGUUCUUUAUGUGUCCUUUUCCAGGUACAUAUGACGUGAUACAUACAUAUGUCAUAUAUGUUAUAUUUACACAUACAGAUAUAUAUUGGAUACAUA